GAUGAACGCUGGCGGCGUGCCUAAUACAUGCAAGUCGAGCGGCAGCGCGGUCUUCGGACUGGCGGCGAGCGGCGGACGGCUGAGUAACGCGUAGGAACGUACCCCAAAGUGAGGGAUAAGCACCAGAAAUGGUGUCUAAUACCGCAUGUGGUCUUCGGAUUAAACCUUCGGGGCUUUGGGAACGGCCUGCGUAAGAUUAGCUUGUUGGUGAGGUAAAAGCUCACCAAGGCGACGAUCUUUAGCUGGUCUGAGAGGAUGAUCAGCCAGACUGGGACUG
rnacentral:rRNA from 1 species